rnacentral:sRNA from 1 species
CCUCUUCCACCUGCUGCGGGCAGAUGAAAUGGAUAUGGGCAUCGAUGCCGCCGGCGGUCAGAAUGGCGCCCUCACCGGCAAUGAUCUCGGUACCCGGCCCGAUCACGAUGUCCACGCCAUCCUGGGUAUCCGGGUUGCCGGCUUUGCCGAUGGUAUGGAUACGACCAUCCUUGACACCGACAUCCGCUUUAACGAUGCCCCAGUGGUCCAGGAUCAGCGCAUUGGUGAUCACCAGAUCCAUGGCGACUUCGUUGGUCUCCUGGCUUUGGCCCAUGCCAUCACG